GGAUAUAGCUCAGUGGUAGAGCACAUGCAUGAGGUCCUGGGUUCAAUCCUCAGUACUUCUA
rnacentral:tRNA from 1 species